rnacentral:lncRNA from 1 species
GUCUUCUCCACGCUCGCAGAGGCAGUGCGGCUAGUCCUCAGUGCUCGCGGAGCGGCGGUAGCGCGAGGGGCAAGACGGCGGAGAACGCAGUCCAGCACGCAUCCGCAGGCCCAGGGCUACCGGACUCUGGUGCAGUGCGGACGCCAGCUGCAGACGCGGCCAUGAAAACCGACGAGAUGCUCAUCCUGGAGAACUUCAUCAACGGCAAGUUCGAGUCGGUGGCCGAGACCAUCGAGAAUGUGGACCCGUCCACGGGCGCCGUCUAUUCGCGCCUGCCCAACAGCGGCUCCCGCGAGGUCGAGAAGGCAGUGCAAGCCGCCAUGCAGGCCUUCCCCACGUGAG